rnacentral:rRNA from 1 species
AACGAACGCUGGCGGCAUGCCUAACACAUGCAAGUCGAACGAGACCUUCGGGUCUAGUGGCGCACGGGUGCGUAACGCGUGGGAACCCGCCCUUAGGUUCGGAAUAACUCCCCGACAGGGGUGCUAAUACCGGAUAAUAUCUUCGGACCAAAGAUUUAUCGCCUUUGGAUGGGCCCGCGUUGGAUUAGCUAGUUGGUAGGGUAAAAGCCUACCAAGGCGACGAUCCAUAGCUGGUCUGAGAGGAUGAUCAGCCACACUGGGAGUGAGACACGGCCCAGACUCCUACGGGAGGGAGCAGUGGGGAAUAUUAGACACUGGGCGAGAGUCUGAUCCAGCAAUGCCGCGUGAGUGAUGGAGGCUUGAGGGUUGUAAAGCUCUAUGUACCGGGAUGAUAAUGACAGUACCGGGAGAAUAAGCUCCGGCUAACUCCGUG